rnacentral:rRNA from 1 species
UACGUAGGGUGCGAGCGUUGUCCGGAAUUAUUGGGCGUAAAGAGCUUGUAGGCGGUUUGUCGCGUCUGCUGUGAAAAUCCGGGGCUCAACCCCGGACUUGCAGUGGGUACGGGCAGACUAGAGUGUGGUAGGGGAGACUGGAAUUCCUGGUGUAGCGGUGAAAUGCGCAGAUAUCAGGAGGAACACCGAUGGCGAAGGCAGGUCUCUGGCCUGUAACUGACGCUGAGGCGCGAAAGCGUGGGGAGCAAACAGG